GGUUUUCAGAAACAGAGCUCCCUCCUGUCUCCCUCUACGAAGCAAAGUUCUGCUAGGGCACGUAUCAUCUCCCAUCUCCAAGCUAGCAUAACCCAUCUUGUACUCCUGAUCUUCAUGUUUCAGCUCUACUCUAGUCCUUGUAGUUGCGAUACCCCAUAGCUAGGGUGGGUUGCUUUUGGUACUCCAAAACAAAGAUGGAAAGAGCUCAGGAGGUGGAUUUGCUGGUGGUAGCGGUGUUGUGUAGUUGGGACCAGUCUUUAAUAGCCCUAUUAGUAGUUUUUAUAGCUUUAAUGCCCCUCUAUCUUAUGAUUUCCUGCUCUAGAAGUGACCUUUUUGGCAAGACAGUUAACGUUUAGACUUUGUUUCGUUCUUGGCAUGGUUGUAUGCCUACGUUUCCUUUUAAGCACUCUUAUGGAUAACUGUAAUAAUAGAUUCGUACGUGUUCUGUU